UGGGGAAUAUUGCACAAAGGGGGAAACCCUGAUGCAGCGACGCCGCGUGAGUGAAGAAGUAUUUCGGUAUGUAAAGCUCUAUCAGCAGGGAAGAUAAUGACAGUACCUGACUAAGAAGCCCCGGCUAACUACGUGCCAGCAGCCGCGGUAAUACGUAGGGGGCAAGCGUUAUCCGGAUUUACUGGGUGUAAAGGGAGCGUAGACGGAAUGGCAAGUCUGAAGUGAAAUACCCGGGCUCAACCUGGGAACUGCUUUGGAAACUGUUGUUCUAGAGUGUUGGAGAGGUAAGUGGAAUUCCUGGUGUAGCGGUGAAAUGCGUAGAUAUCAGGAAGAACACCGGAGGCGAAGGCGGCUUACUGGACAAUAACUGACGUUGAGGCUCGAAAGCGUGGGGAUCAAACAGGAUUAGAUACCCUGGUAGUCCACGCUGUAAACGAUGAAUACUAGGUGUCGGGGUGCAAAGCAUCUCGGUGCCGUCGCUAACGCAAUAAGUAUUCCACCUGGGGAGUACGUUCGCAAGAAU
rnacentral:rRNA from 1 species